rnacentral:rRNA from 1 species
UACGUAGGGUGCAAGCGUUAAUCGGAAUUACUGGGCGUAAAGCGUGCGCAGGCGGUGAUGUAAGACAGGUGUGAAAUCCCCGGGCUUAACCUGGGAACUGCAUUUGUGACUGCAUCGCUGGAGUGCGGCAGAGGGGGAUGGAAUUCCGCGUGUAGCAGUGAAAUGCGUAGAUAUGCGGAGGAACACCGAUGGCGAAGGCAAUCCCCUGGGCCUGCACUGACGCUCAUGCACGAAAACGUGGGGAGCAAACAGG